rnacentral:rRNA from 1 species
CCUACGGGGUGCAGCAGUAGGGAAUUUUCGUCAAUGGGCGCAAGCCUGAACGAGCAAUGCCGCGUGAACGAGGAAGGUCUUCGGAUCGUAAAGUUCUUUUCUCAGGGACGAAGAAAGUGACGGUACCUGAGGAAUAAGCCACGGCUAACUACGUGCCAGCAGCCGCGGUAAUACGUAGGUGGCAAGCGUUAUCCGGAUUUAUUGGGUGUAAAGGGCGUGUAGGCGGGAGCGCAAGUCAGAUGUGAAAACUCAGGGCUCAACCCUGAGCCUGCAUUUGAAACUGUGUUUCUUGAGUGCUGGGGAGGCAAUCGGAAUUCCGUGUGUAGCGGUGAAAUGCGUAGAUAUACGGAGGAACACCAGUGGCGAAGGCGGAUUGCUGGACAGUAACUGACGCUGAGGCGCGAAAGCGUGGGGAGCAAACAGGAUUAGAUACCCUAGUAGUC